rnacentral:rRNA from 1 species
AUACGGAGGGUGCAAGCGUUACUCGGAAUCACUGGGCGUAAAGCGCGCGCAGGCGGCUAUUGAAGUUGGAUGUGAAAGCCUACGGCUCAACCGUAGAACUGCAUCCAAAACUAUUUAGCUAGAGUGUGGGAGAGGAAGAUGGAAUUAGUUGUGUAGGGGUAAAAUCCGUAGAGAUAACUAGGAAUACCAAAAGCGAAGGCAAUCUUCUGGAACACUACUGACGCUGAGGCGCGAAAGCGUGGGGAGCAAACGGGAUUAGAAACCCCAGUAGUCC